UAGGGAAUUUUCGUCAAUGGGCGCAAGCCUGAACGAGCAAUGCCGCGUGAACGAGGAAGGUCUUCGGAUCGUAAAGUUCUGUUGAAGGGGAAAAAGAGCGAAGAGAGGAAAUGCUUUCUGAUUGAUAUUACCCUUCGAGGAAGUCACGGCUAACUACGUGCC
rnacentral:rRNA from 1 species